rnacentral:snRNA from 1 species
GUACUCACUGGCAGUACAUAUACUAAAAUUGGAAAGAUACAGAGAAGAUUAACAUGGCGCCUGUGCAAAACAUGAAGCAUUCCAUAUUUUU